rnacentral:lncRNA from 1 species
CUUCAUAGCCCCUUCCCAAUAGGUCCAGAAUGUCACCUGUGGAGCCAUUCCUCACACCAGACUGCCCUGAGAAAUAAUCUAAGACAAAAUACAUCAUUCCAUCCGGUCAGGAUUCAAGUGGAUCUGAAGUGAACGCCCAAGUAGAAGACAAAAGUUAAAAGGACCAAAAUACACAGAUGGCCCGUCUUGAGCUGGCUGGACAGAAUGCUGACAACCCAAAGAAGAGGGACUGUUUCUAUAGGACACCUUGUGACAUCUAAGAACGGAGGAGAACUAUUUACUGCCAUCAGUAUUGUUACCGGAUUAAGCACAUCCUACCAUCAUCUGCUUUGGUCACAUAAAUGAACUUGUAAACCAAUCUGUUGUUGAAAGACUGGAGUCAUCUUCCUACUACCUGUGAAAAAACACAUGGAAGACACCUGGACGUUGUGAACUGAUGCGGAAUGCAGAACUUCUGUGACUCUUGGGUGUUUUGAAGACUUUGAAAAAAAAAAAAAACUGUUGCUUACCAACAUGUCACAAUGAGUUCCGUGUGUGGGAUGGAAUGGGUGGGUGGAUGGAUGGGUGUGUGGGUGGAUGGGUGGGUGGGUGGGUGAGUGGGGUAGUUUGCUGUUAAAUAAAAUGCUUUGUCUUG